CCUACGGGUGGCUGCAGUGAGGAAUAUUGGUCAAUGGACGGAAGUCUGAACCAGCCAUGCCGCGUGCAGGAAGACGGCUCUAUGAGUUGUAAACUGCAUUUGUACAAGGGGAAACCUGAAUACGUGUAUGCAGCUGAAAGUACUGUACGAAUAAGGAUCGGCUAACUCCGUGCCAGCAGCCGGGGUAAUACGGAGGAUCCACGCGUUAUCCGGAUUUAGUGGGUUUAAAGGGUGCGUAGGCGGUUUGAUAAGUUAGAGGUGAAAUGUCCGCGCUUACCUCUGGAACUGCCUCUCAUACUGUUGAUCUAUAGCGUAGCUGCGGUCGGCGGAAUG
rnacentral:rRNA from 1 species